rfam:Ictidomys tridecemlineatus contig006692, whole genome shotgun sequence.
UGAGCUGUAGCUCAGUGGUAGAGCACUUGCCUCACAUGCUUGAGGUACUGGGUUCAGUCCUCAGCACCACAU